rnacentral:rRNA from 1 species
CGAACGCUGGCGGCGUGGAUUAGGCAUGCAAGUCGGACGAGAAAGGGAGCUUCGGUUCCCUGAGUAGAGUGGCAAACGGGUGAGUAACGCGUGAAGAACCUGCCCGGAAGUGGGGGAUAACAUCUCUAACGGGGUGCUAAUACCGCAUGUGUUCGCGAGAUCGCAUGGUCCUGCGUACAAAGGUGGCCUCUACAUGUAAGCUACCGCUUCCGGAUGGCUUUGCGUCCCAUUAGCUUGUUGGUGGGGUUACAGCCUACCAAGGCGACGAUGGGUAGCUGGUCUGAGAGGAUGGUCAGCCACACUGGGACUGAGAUACGGCCCAGACUCCUACGGGAGGCAGCAGUCGAGAGGCUUCCGCAAUGGGGGAAACCCUGACGGAGCGACGCCGCGUGCGGGAUGACGGCUUUCGGGUUGUAAACCGCUUUCAGGUGGGAAGAAAAGUCAUUGGGUGAAUAAUCCAAUGGCCAUGACGGUACCACCAGAAGAAGCUCCGGCUAACUCCGUG